rnacentral:sRNA from 1 species
AUUUAUACAGACUUAUUCUGGGAGGGGUGCUGCAUUCUACUCAAUUGUACCCUACAACGAAGUACAUCAGGGACGCCAAAAACAAAUGACCGACGGAUUCGAAUGGGUGCUAGAUCUCGAUGCUCGAUCUACGUAAUACAUGGACCAUUCCACGACGCUCAACAGACGUGUACUCCUUCAAUUUCCGACCAAGCGAAUCAGGCUGUAAUUAUACACGAGCUGGGAUAAGAUGGGAGAACGUCGGAGGUGGCAUUCAUUUCAUUGGAGUAACUGAACAUCCACAAAGGCUGUCGGUUUCCCACGUGACGUAGAUUAUAAAGCCUUCCUGCUUUUCAGCAGGCCAUCAAAAGCAAUGGAUGAGCAAUGGGAUGAGCAUAGAGGUCAUCUGACUGUCGCUUUCGCUCGGAAAGAAGAAUCUCAUGGGUACAAUGAUACAACAGCGACCAAAAGGCAAAUAAAGGAGUCAGAUGACAAGUGCGAAGGAUGAACGCCCAUGGCUAGAACGAAGAUACUGCUAUGUAGGGGUGCUUUGAGGCCCUUAUACCGUUUUCCCUGAUCUAUAUGAGUAUUAUUUAUCAAUGCGGCGCUCGAUAAUAUUGGGAGCUUUCGACCACAAUAUAUCGCCGCUUCUUCUGCUGCCCCCACACAAUAGCCUUCUCGCCGUAGAGGACCAGCGCCUUGUCCUGCCAACUGGCUCGUUAAAGAGACUACUGGUUGCCAUGUGAUCAUUAUCAUUGGGUUGGAAAGGAAGAGAAGCAGUUUCUCCGCCGUGGGGGGGAAGCACGUCUCCCUUUGUACUUUUCCCUCCCGAAAUCUGGGUCGACGCUGCCAGGUUAGAGGAUCCAGCUUCACAUCUUACAGGCAAUAUCUCUGAGUAUUCAUAAGGCGGAGGUGCGCCCUCGGGAGUUGCCUGGGAAAUAUCACCAUUCACCAUCGUCCCAGCGCAAAGACGUCUUUUAACAUCAUUUGCGACCAAAUCUACGAUCUUCCCUGUGCCGCGAAAGAAAGUGGGAUCGAAAGUGCCGGUCUCGAGUGACUUAUUCCACGUGUAAUCAUCAUAACCGUGCACCGGCUCGACUUGGGGAAUCAAAUAGGAUUGUUGACUGCUUCGGCCAACAUUCGUAUCCCGAGUGUGUUGGUUGAACUCGUUUUGUAGGUAUGCGCUAGUAUAUGCAGAAAGACAUUCGGCUUUUUUCUGAGGACCAUCUGUGUACCGCUCCCAGUCUUGCGACGUCCUGC